rnacentral:rRNA from 1 species
CAGCAGCCACGGAAAUACGUAGGGGGCAAGCGUUAUCCGGAAUUAUUGGGCGUAAAGCGCGCGCAGGCGGAUAGGUCAGUCUGUCUUAAAAGUUCGGGGCUUAACCCCGUGAUGGGAUGGAAACUGCCAAUCUAGAGUAUCGGAGAGGAAAGUGGAAUUCCUAGUGUAGCGGUGAAAUGCGUAGAUAUUAGGAAGAACACCAGUGGCGAAGGCGACUUUCUGGACGAAAACUGACGCUGAGGCGCGAAAGCCAAGGGAGCGAACGGGAUUAGAUACCCCUGUAGUCCCUGUCUCUUAUACA